UGGUGGAGUGAUUUGUCUGGUUAAUUCCGUUAACGAACGAGACCUCCUCCUGCUAAAUAGUUUGAAUUAGGAUGUCCUAGUUUUAAACUUCUUAGAGGGACUUUUGGCGAUUAGUCAAAGGAAGUUGGAGGCAAUAACA
rnacentral:rRNA from 1 species